UCGACGUAAAAAAUUGUCCAGUAAGUCGACUCGCGUGAGCACAGGAUUCUGAUUUAAGCAUAUCAAUGUUAAAGUUAUCCAUGAAAUAACUGAUUUUAUUUUCUUUGUCAAUUUUUUCUAUAAUUUCGUUUAAUGCAUUUUGAAAUAUUUCAAUUUUGUUGUUUGGUGGUCUGUAAAUUACUCCAACUAUUAUGUUCUUACCCGCGGAUAUGCUUAUCUCAAUAAAAACUGAUUCUAUUGUUUCUUCAAUAUUUGUAUUAAGGUCUUUACGAAUUUUAUACUUUCGUUGUUUUGCAAUAUAUAUUCCAACCCCUCCGCCUUUUUUAUUUGUUCUGGUUGUGCCAACGUAGUUAUAUGCAUGUCGGUAGAUCAAAACCGGCAUCAUUAGUAUAAUUAUCAUUAAGCAAUGUUUCGCUUAAUCCCAUAAUUUUAAAUUCGGUG